ACUUCUUUAUCACCGAGUGCUUGCACUCACCGAUAAAGAGUUGAGUGGCGAACGGGUGAGUAACACGUGGGCAACCUGCCCAAAAGAGGGGGAUAACACUUGGAGACAGGUGCUAAUACCGCAUAACCAUAGUUACCGCAUGGUAACUAUGUAAAAGGUGGCUAUGCUACCGCUUUUGGAUGGGCCCGCGACGCAUUAGCUAGUUGGUGGGGUAAAGGCUUACCAAGGCAAUGAUGCGUAGCCGAACUGAGAGGUUGAUCGGCCACAUUGGGACUGAGACACGGCCCAAACUCCUACGGGAGGCAGCAGUAGGGAAUCUUCCACAAUGGGCGAAAGCCUGAUGGAGCAACGCCGCGUGGGUGAAGAAGGUCUUCGGAUCGUAAAACCCUGUUGUUAGAGAAGAAAGUGCGUGAGAGUAACUGUUCACGUUUCGACGGUAUCUAACCAGAAAGCCACGGCUAACUACGUGCCAGCAGCCGCGGUAAUACGUAGGUGGCAAGCGUUAUCCGGAUUUAUUGGGCGUAAAGAGAACGCAGGCGGUCUUUUAAGUCUGAUGUGAAAGCCUUCGGCUUAACCGGAGUAGUGCAUUGGAAACUGGGAGACUUGAGUGCAGAAGAGGAGAGUGGAACUCCAUGUGUAGCGGUGAAAUGCGUAGAUAUAUGGAAGAACACCAGUGGCGAAAGCGGCUCUCUGGUCUGUAACUGACGCUGAGGUUCGAAAGCGUGGGUAG
rnacentral:rRNA from 1 species